rnacentral:lncRNA from 1 species
UGGACCGCUUUCUCCAUGAGGGUGAAGAAUCACAUCUUGUUUUUCCUCUCGAACCUAGAUCUGCAAUGGAGAAGACAAGAAAGUGGAGCUUGUAGAGAUGACCGGUAGGGGAAAGAAUCCCCUGUUUCCAGUAACAAAAGUGUGGCGGCUCCAUAUCUUGUGCCCUAAUAAUGAGGAAUCUCUUGAUUAUUUUGAGGAAGUCUUUGUACGGCAACAGCUCUGAGCUCCCUUGUACAUGAGGUUGUGAAUCCCAUUUGAAACAAAUGUGGAUCUGGAGGUUUUGAAGCACUGAAACAAGUGAAAUACCACAGAUCUAGAAGUUUUUGAAAACAUAACACAGAUCUGUGGGGUUUCUCCAUUCAAAGAUCGGGAGUGUGGCUCUUAACCUUGUGGUCGUGGGUUCGAGCCCCACGGUGGGCGCCAAAAUUGAAACACGGAAUCACCGCCGGGAUGAUUGGACCACUUUCUCCAUGAGGGUGAAGAAUCACAUCUUGUUUUUCCUCUCGAACCUAGAUCUGCAAUGGAGAAGACAAGAAAGUGGAGCUUGUAGAGAUGACCGGUAGGGGAAAGAAUCCCCUGUUUCCAGUAACAAAAGUGUGGCGGCUCCAUAUCUUGUGCCCUAAUAAUGAGGUUCGUCACGUCUUGAUUUCUAAAACUACACUUUGCAUAUGGAACUUACUGAAGACGGGACUGAGAUUGUCACUCAUCAGUUACCUGAAGAUGAUCAGGGUCUAGCGACAGGCCAGUUUGCAGCAUUCUACAAAGAACAGGUUUGUAUGGGUCCGGUGUGAUCUUGGAAUCAUUGGACAAUAAUGGGUUUCCUGUAUGUGAAAAGGCUCGCAAAGUUGCAAACUUGGAAGAUAAAUCUAAGCUUGGUAAACCCGUCAAGAUUAAGCCAAAACCUGAUGAUUGUUUGUGGAAUUCGGUUAUGACGAUAUGAGAUUAGUUUAGAAUUAUAUUUUGGUGUAUAUGUGUAAGCUUUAUGCCUUCUUUGGUCUGUUGGAAUAGUUUUAUUAAGUAUUAAAUUUAGUUUUAUAUCACAAGCUAAUCAUGUUUAUGAUUUUUUAUUU